UAGGGAAUAUUGCAAAAUGGGCGAAAGCCCGGUGCAGCAACGCCGCGUGGGCGAUGAAGGCCUUCGGGUCGUAAAGCCCUUUUUGAGGGGAUGAGGAAGGACAGUACCCUCAGAAUAAGCCUCGGCUAACUACGUGCCAGCAGCCGCGGUAAAACGUAGGAGGCGAGCGUUAUCCGGAUUUACUGGGCGUAAAGCGCGUGCAGGCGGAUUGGAGAGUUGGAUGUGAAAGCUCCCGGCUUAACUGGGAGAGGUCGUUCAAUACUUCCAGUCUUGAGUGCAGUGGAGGGAAGUGGAAUUCCGGGUGUAGUGGUGAAAUGCGUAGAUAUCCGGAGGAACACCAGUGGCGAAAGCGGCUUCCUGGACUGUAACUGACGCUCAGACGCGAAAGCUAGGGUAGCAAACG
rnacentral:rRNA from 1 species